rnacentral:rRNA from 1 species
CGAGGGGCCCAAAACAUGCAAGUUCGAACGGCAGCACGGGUGCUUGCACCUGGUGGCGAGUGGCGAACGGGUGAAUAAGGAAUAGGAACGUACCCGGAAGUGGGGGAUAACGUAGCGCAUGUCAUGCUAAUACCGCAUAUUCUGUGAGCAGGAAAGCGGGGGAUCGCAAGACCUCGCGCGAUUGGAGCGGCCGAUGGCAUAUUAGGUAGUUGGUGGGGUAAAGGCUCACCAAGCCGACGAUCUGUAGCUGGUCUGAGAGGACGACCAGCCACACUGGGACUGAGACACGGCCCAGACUCCUACGGGAGGCAGCAGUGGGGAAUUUUGGACAAUGGGCGCAAGCCUGAUCCAGCCAUUCCGCGUGCAGGAUGAAGGCCUUCGGGUUGUAAACCUCUUUCAGCAGGGACGAAGCGCAAGUGACGGUACCUGCAGAAGAAGCACCGGCCAACUACGUGCCUUUUUUUUCGGUAAUA